rnacentral:lncRNA from 1 species
UCCAUGUGCAAGAUUGGUGUCACUAAGUGAAGAAGAUAAAGAUGUGCAAAACUAGGGUCAAUGAGCAAAGCGAAGAAGACCCUAGAUUCAAAUCGUUUAAAGCGCCAAAAGGAGUCUCAUGUGGAUAAGGUAGCAAGCAACUUGCAAGGAGGACCACAUGAGGAUAUGGACGUUGAGGAAGCUGUCACUAUCAUCAAGGACGCUCCUCUCUCUCUCAUAAAGGAGAAAAAGCAACAAGUGGUCCCAAAACACUUUAAGCCACAUGAUCAAACUAAAGGUCAUAUAGCCGUUGGUGCUAUUUUGGUUUUAAGUGUAUUUUGGAUUUAAGUGAGCUAUUUUGAAUGCUCAUGACCGUUGGCUUUAGGUCUAGAAGUGAGACAACUUGUCUCUUUUA